rnacentral:rRNA from 1 species
AAGGGCACCACAAGAAACGCGUGGAGCAUGUGGCUUAAUUUGACUCAACGCGGGAAAUCUUACCGGGUCCGGACACAUUGAGGAUUGACAGGCGCAAAAUGGCUCGCCCGCUUGCUCUCGGGCAGGCGAACCGGCUAUUUCUAAAUAUGCUAGUCCUUUCAUGAUUGUGUGAUAGGUGGUGCAUGGCCGUUCUUAGUUCGUGGAGUGAUCUGUCUGCUUAAUUGCGUUUCAGAAAAUANGUUCUUAGAAGUAAUUGCUUGCCGCGCUUGGCUUGCCAAUGUGCGCGAGCACCCUUGCAACCUUGAAGGCAACGAACGUGAUCGCAACCUCUUGUUGCCUUCCUUUCGUCUUUAUGGCGAACUGUUGCCUCGUGAUUCUUUCAAGCUUUGCCUUUUUUGUCCUCGCUCGCGUCUCCUGGCAUCCUUUGGUGUCCCGUUGGCGUGUGGCUGGGUAGCCAUGGAGACAAACGCUGGGAUAUUCUGAAGGUUGAAUAGAACCAAGUGCAAACUAAAAGGACGCGCAUUUUUUUAGAACCGGGAGGAAGGUGGCGGCAAUAACAGUUCUGUGAUGCCCUUAGAUGUUCCGGGCUGCACACGUGCUACAAUGAUUGUUGCAGUGAGCAUCUUGAAAAGUUCGCGUGGUUAUUUUGCGCGACACUACCUACGUCGAAAGUACAUAGGCAAUCAAUUCGAAGUAACGAUUUCCUUUGCACGUUAACAAGUCUUGUGUUUGAGGUGUACGGACAGAUGGCAGGUUUCGGCUUGUCAACGCGUGCAUCUGCGCAGGACGUGCUUCUAUUUAAUUCAUGGUGGGACAGACCAUUGCAAUUGUUGGUCUCGGUCUUNAACUAGGAAUGCCUUGUACGGGUCAUGGUUCAACAGACCACCCGGAAUAUGUCCCUGCCCUUUGUACACACCGCCCGUCGCUCUUACCGAUGGACUUCUCUGUGAGUUUGAGGGACUGGCCGUAUAGCUAUGGAAACUCAAACGAACAGUGUGGUCUAAAGGAAAGAGAAGUCGUAACAAGGCAUCGGUAGGUGAACCUGCAGAAGGAUCAAGCUUGGAU